UACGUAGGGUGCAAGCGUUAAUCGGAAUUACUGGGCGUAAAGCGAGCGCAGGCGGUUUGUUAAGCCAGAUGUGAAAUCCCCGGGCUCAACCUGGGAACUGCGUCCGAUACUGGCAGGCUUGAAUCCGGGAGAGGGAUGCGGAAUUCCAGGUGUAGCGGUGAAAUGCGUAGAUAUCUGGAGGAACACCGGUGGCGAAGGCGGCAUCCUGGACCGGCAUUGACGCUGAGGCGCGAAAGCCAGGGGAGCAAACGGG
rnacentral:rRNA from 1 species